rnacentral:rRNA from 1 species
UACGUAGGGACCAAGCGUUGUUCGGAUUUACUGGGCGUAAAGGGCUCGUAGGCGGCCAACUAAGUCAGACGUGAAAUCCCUCGGCUUAACCGGGGAACUGCAUCUGAUACUGGAUGGCUUGAGUUCGGGAGAGGGAUGCGGAAUUCCAGGUGUAGCGGUGAAAUGCGUAGAUAUCUGGAGGAACACCGGUGGCGAAGGCGGCAUCCUGGACCAACACUGACGCUGAGGAGCGAAAGCCAGGGGAGCAAACGGG